rnacentral:rRNA from 1 species
UACGUAGGUGGCAAGCGUUGUCCGGAAUUAUUGGGCGUAAAGCGCGCGCAGGCGGUCUUUUAAGUCUGAUGUGAAAUCUUGCGGCUCAACCGCAAGCGGUCAUUGGAAACUGGAGGGCUUGAGUACAGAAGAGGAGAGUGGAAUUCCACGUGUAGCGGUGAAAUGCGUAGAGAUGUGGAGGAACACCAGUGGCGAAGGCGACUCUCUGGUCUGUAACUGACGCUGAGGCGCGAAAGCGUGGGGAGCAAACAGG